GCGGAGGAAAAGAAACCAACAGGGAUUGCCCUAGUAACGGCGAGUGAAGCGGCAACAGCUCAAAUUUGAAAUCUGGCUCUUUCAGAGUCCGAGUUGUAAUUUGCAGAGGGCGCUUUGGCGUUGGCAGCGGUCCAAGUUCUUUGGAACAGGACGUCACAGAGGGUGAGAAUCCCGUACGUGGUCGCUAGCCUUCGCCGUGUAAAGCCCCUUCGACGAGUCGAGUUGUUUGGGAAUGCAGCUCUAAAUGGGAGGUAAAUUUCUUCUAAAGCUAAAUACUGGCCAGAGACCGAUAGCGCACAAGUAGAGUGAUCGAAAGAUGAAAAGCACUUUGGAAAGAGAGUCAAAUAGCACGUGAAAUUGUUGAAAGGGAAGCGCUUGCAGCCAGACUUGCCUGUAGUUGCUUAUCUGGACUUUUGUCCGGUGCACUCUUCUGCGGGCAGGCCAGCAUCAGUUUGGGCGGUUGGAUAAAGGUCUCUGUCAUGUACCUCCUUUCGGGGAGGCCUUAUAGGGGAGACGACAUGCAACCAGCCUGGACUGAGGUCCGCGCAUCUGCUAGGAUGCUGGCGUAAUGGCUGUAAGCGGCCCGUCUUGAAACACGGACCAAGGAGUCUAACAUCUAUGCGAGUGUUUGGGUGUCAAGCCCAGACGCGUAAUGAAAGUGAACGGAGGUGGGAACCCUUUGGGUGCACCAUCGACCGAUCCUGAUGUCUUCGGAUGGAUUUGAGUAAGAGCAUGGCUGUUGGGACCCGAAAGAUGGUGAACUAUGCUUGAAUAGGGUGAAGCCAGAGGAAACUCUGGUGGAGGCUCGCAGCGGUUCUGACGUGCAAAUCGAUCGUCAAAUUUGGGC
rnacentral:sRNA from 1 species